UCCAGUAGAUAGCACAACUUCCCUUUUCUUUAGCGACCACGUACUACUCUCUCGCACUAAAUCUCUUUCCACCACAGAUUGAUUGAUUUACCUGCUUCAGGCUACCAGGAAGGCGCGGAGCAAAACACUGUUGAUAUUGUUAUAUAUUUUGGAGGUCAACAAAUCAAUUCGAAUGGUUCUGCCCAUCGUCGUAUGCAGGCCCAUCAUCAUAUGCAGGGACAAAUGCAUAUUCAGGUUAAUCGGAUUACGCGAGUUCAUCUGAAUACAAUGAUGAAGAUAUCGAGUUUGAAGCGGAUAGCUUGUUGAACACUGAGCAAGUUGACUCAAAAUCAGAUGAGGUCGAAGUACAAGACCAGAUUGACCAGAAUAAUGACGAUGAUGGUGAUGUAAGUAUACUUGUUAGGAUGGAUGUUCUUGGUGAGAAUGCACAAGAGCAUUUUGAUUUGAAACUAAAUCUAAAUUGCUCUUGUGAAAAUUAAAAUAAAAUCACAUUAAAUAAAAUAGAAAUUUUAUAGACAUCUCAAUUUACAUAUGCAAUAUUUUUAUGCUUUCCGUAUAUAAUACACAACUCUAAUAAUGCCCUCCAGUGCCAGAACGUGGACGUCUUCUGUUUUUUCGAGGAGGAUUAUCAUCUCUUUGGUCACUGGGUGUAUUCACAUCGGUGUUUUCGAAUAGAAUUGGUGAUGCAACAUAUUGUCUUCGAAUUUGCGGGUUAACAUUAUGUGUAAACGUAUCAUCAAAUGAUGGCAUGUGUGGAGCAUAUGGAGUGUAAGUAGUCGAUGGACCUGUUUUCGAGUUAAAGCUCCACGGACCAGCCUCUAUGUACGCUCGACGGACCAGCCUCGGUAUGUACGCUCGACGGACCAGCCUCGGUAUGUACGCUCGACGGACCAGCCUCUGUGAAUGCGUUGCCACGAGUUGUGUGAACCAGUCUAACUCGAACACUUGGAUACCGUGAAUAGAAAAAGUUCAUAAUUUCACGUCCGAUCGUACGUGCUCGCGCUCGAGUAUCUCUUGAUGACUGUUGAUCAUCUUCGAAAUUUUCACAGUCAAUCACUAGCUGCUCCAUUCUAUUAUACUGGUAAACAAAAUCAAAUUAGCAGCAUAAUCGACUGGCUAAAAUAAAUGAACAUAAAAAAAUAUAAGGUGCUUACCACAUAUUCCUAAUCACGGGUGUUAGUUGGUCGAUAGCCCGACGUGUUCGUAGACAAUGUGUUAUGUGAAAUCUGGACCCGAAUAAUUUGAUGAUACCAGUUCAUAUAGUCAGGACGGUAUCAAGACCACCUUCAAUAACGGGUCAUUCCACCACCAGUGAUUGCACAUCGUUCCAUUUCGCAAUAUAGUUCGUGUGAAACGUUGCCCAAUCCAUGUCAUGACGUCCCCGCCUAUCUAUUGUGUGUAAACGACGUUCACUGAUUAAUGGGUUUGGGGGGAUGUCUUGCACAUAGCCAAAUUGGCGGAGAACCCUCUCCGGGUAAUGCAUUUCCACCAGCGAAUAAUUGAUCAAUAGGCAGCGUAUAUUCCACGGUGUGCGUAUUGCUAAAAAGGCAAUGUCCGAAGCUCGAGUGCAUUAUCAUCAUACGGAUUCCAAAUAAACUACAAUACCAUAUAACGCUAAUCAAUAUACUUGGAACAAAUGCAUCAGAAAUACACUAAACGUAAAAAAUAAAUCGCAACGAUAUACCUCAUUUAAUUGCAUACCAUCCAACACGUUCCUUAUUAUACGUAGAGCAUUGUGCGCAGUAUGAGUACGGGAUAUAUGAUACGACCACCUAAAAUUAAAAUUAUGAAAAGUAAGUGAAAUCUAUAUAAAUAAAUAAAAAUGUUCAUACCGUGCAGCAUAUGGAGGGCUAGGUAGAAUGUUGUCAGGGUCCAUUAUGGUCGAAACCAGAGUUGAAGCUUCGCUCGAGGGAAUGGGUGCAAGUGUUAUGAUGCGAGAUCAUGCCCAUAUUUGUAAUAAUUGCAUGGCACCGCCAAUAUUAUUUUUCCCUCAUUGUGAUGCUGUACACAGCUCUCGGUAUAGAUAAGACAACACUGUUGAACCCCAAUUUGAGGUAUAUUCUUUGUGUAUAUUUUCCAUAUGCCGUAAAUAUAACAAUGACACGGUGUUCCCCGUAGCAUUAAGGCACAACACACCACCAAUAAUGCACAUGGCACAUAUACGUGCCUCCUGUAACACAGCCUCAAACGGGCUAUCAUCAUCACAUGUAUUUUCUAAUAAAUAUUCAUAUAACACUGUCAGUUUUAUUUUUGACCAUCUAAAAGCAUUUUCAUUUGGCAUAAAAUCCAACUAUUGAUGACAAUAAUUUUGCCACCGUUGUGUACUAUACCUUGUAUCUACCCCGAUAAUAAGAUUAUCUUUCACCGGGAGUGCCUAGAUGAUGGCGAUAUCCUGUAGUGUUACAGUUGCUUUGCCCGCCGCAAAAUGAAAAGUAUGCAUCUCGGGGUGCCAUCUCUCUACUAAAGCAAUAAUUAAGUAGGUAUUAAUUUUAACAUGCCCACACUGCAAAACACCAAGAAACCCCAUAUUCUGGAAUACUUGCAAAAUACGAAUAUGACGUGGUGCUAGUUGUAAGACACGAAAAAAAACUAUGUCACCGCGUCGUAUUGAUAAAGUUGUAUCCGAAUUUUUGGACACAUCUUCUGAUCGAUGAUUUAAUUGCCCGUACAAAAUACUGGUAUCAAUAGGGCCAAAAUUAGACAUACCCUAAUUUUUUUUAAAGAGAAAGGUGUAAAAAUUGUGCAAGAACAAGAACAAGAACAAUAAAAUUGGGCGGAAAAUGUUGAAAAACAAGAAAGAGAAAGAACAAGAACAAUGAAAUUUGCUGAGGAAAUGUUGAAGUGAAGUGAAAAACAAGGAUUGCAGCUCACAUUUAAAUAGUGUGAGAUGCAAUUGUCACAGGGAAUUUAUUUAAAAAAUGCAGGAAAAAAAAUUAGAAAAGUAGGGUGAAAUGGAGGUGUUUAGAAAAGUAAAUGGCUCACCGCGGUGCUAUAAUUUUAAAAAAAAAAAAAAAAUCUCUAUGUCACCGUGGUGGUUAACCGCAGUGACAGAGUUUUUUAAAAAAAAAAAAAUUUAUGUGCCACCGUGGUAAAUGACCGCAGUGGCAGGAAUAUUAUAUUAAAAAAAAAACAAAAACAAAGAUAGCGGUUCUUCACUGAAUUCCAAAAAGAAAAAAUAGUCAAACUGCAGCCUGCAAUUUUGCAGGCUGCA